CCUACGGGAGGCAGCAGUGGGGAAUAUUGCACAAUGGGGGAAACCCUGAUGCAGCGACGCCGCGUGAAGGAAGAAGUAUUUCGGUAUGUAAACUUCUAUCAGCAGGGAAGAAAAUGACGGUACCAGACUAAGAAGCACCGGCUAACUACGUGCCAGCAGCCGCGGUAAUACGUAGGGGGCAAGCGUUAUCCGGAUUUACUGGGUGUAAAGGGAGCGUAGGCGGGUUAGCAAGUCAGAUGUGAAGGCCCGGGGCUCAACUCCGGGACUGCUUUUGAAACUGUUCAACUAGAUUGCAGGAGAGGUAGGUAGAAUUCCUAGUGUAGCGGUGAAAUGCGUAGAGAUUAGGAGGAAUACCAGUGGCGAAGGCGGCUCACUGGACUGAGAAUGACGCUGAGGUUCGAAAGCGUGGGGAGCAAACAGGAUUAGAUACCCUAGUAGUC
rnacentral:rRNA from 1 species